UACGUAGGGUGCGAGCGUUGUCCGGAUUAUUGGGCGUAAAGAGCUCGUAGGCGGUUUGGUAAGUUGGAUGUGAAAUCUCCAGGCUCAACUUGGAGGGGUCAUUCGAUACUGCCAUGACUGGAGUUCGGCAGGGGAGACUGGAAUUCCUGGUGUAGCGGUGAAAUGCGCAGAUAUCAGGAGGAACACCGAGUGGCGAAGGCGGGUCUCUGGGCCGAGUACUGACGCUGGAGGAGCGAAAGCGUGGGGAGCGAACAGG
rnacentral:rRNA from 1 species